UUAUCUCUCUCUUUUACUCACCCUCUGUUACAAUGAAGAAAGAAAAAAUACAGAGAAAAAAAUUCCUUUAUCUCCUUCCUCGAUCUCUCUCGUUUGGCUUUUCGUUUUCAUAAAAUUUUCACUCUUUCUAACAAGAGCAAUCACAAGCAUACAUAUAAUGAUAAAGACAACAAAUGAAAAAUGGUACCGUUGUGGAAGGUAUCGUUGCACUGCGGAUCUGGUAUUGUGGAGGGGCAUUUCCCCGACGGCUGGACUCGUUGGCGGUGCGGCGGGAGCAUGCUACACGGCUGGUGGUGGCGGAGUGAGUUGCGAUGGGAAGGCAACGCGCGAUGUGGAAUGAGCAAAAAUGCGGCGGUCACGAUUUUGCUUGUUUUCUCCCUCAAACCAGAAUUUUUCUAUGGAUUUUGAUUUGUUGGAUGUUAAUGAUUUCCAUUAGAAAAACCUCGGUCCCUUAUUAUGUUGAUAAAUGGUGGAUUUUAUAGUGGAAUUUUGAGAUCAUGAAUUUAAGGUUAUAAUCUUCUGAAUUUAAGACUCAUGAUUUGCUCCUAUUUUAUUUUGGAAAGAAAGUGAAU
rnacentral:lncRNA from 1 species